GAUGAAGAACGUAGCGAAAUGCGAUAAGUAAUGUGAAUUGCAGAAUUCAGUGAAUCAUCGAAUCUUUGAACGCACCUUGCGCCCUUUGGCCAUUCCGAAGGGCAUGCCUGUUUGAGUAUCAUGAACACCUCAACUCUCAUGGCUCGCCAUGAUGAGCUUGGACUUUGGGGGUCUUGCUGGCCUGUGGUCGGCUCCUCUCAAAUGGAUCAGCUUGCCAGUGUUUGGUGGCAUCACAGGUGUGAUAACUAUCUGCGCUUGUGGUUUUCCAUCAGAUAACCUUCAGUGAUGGAGGUUCGCUGGAGCUCAUAAACGUCUCCCCUAAGCGGGGACAGCCCUUUGAAUGUUUGAUCUCAAAUCAGGUAGGACUACCCGCUGAACUUAAGCAUAUUAAUAAGCGGAGGA
rnacentral:misc_RNA from 1 species